CCAGCAUACCUGAUUCUCAUCGUCAAUUUCAUUUCUUCUAUUGUGUCUUUCCACAGAGGCUGUUCUGUAGGAAACUGUUCCACUCUCCUUUUCCAGCAGAGGAGACAGGUCACCAAACAAGAUUCUACCAACAAAAAGGUGUUGGUUUCUUUUCCCAUCUCUCAUCUUCUUUUUCCCAAGGACCUUCAGUUGCCAUUUCUACUUUUUUAAUUUUUGUUUUUGGCAUGAUUCAUCAGAGGCCAAAACGAGAGUGAAAAUGUGUUUCAAAACAGCCCAGACAGUGGAUUUGUAAAGGCAUAGCUUUGUUUCUUUCAAAGCACAGUUCAUUUUUUUCUAAAGGGUGAUCUGUGCAGCACACUCCUCCCAGAGGAUAAUAGAAAUGGAAGAUGACUGGGGAUUGUUCCUGGCUCUUUUCCAAGAAGUACUUUGCUUCAUUUGGCUGCCUUCUUGAGAGCUGGAUAAAGAUAGUAUGCAGAGACAGAAAUCACAAAGCCUCCUCGAUGGUAGGAAUGUUGGCACCCUGUGAAGCACAAGCUCAGAGCAAGGCGCUGCACUUCAGUCCCAGCAGCGUGGAGUGCUUCCCUAAUCUUCCCAGCCCUCCUCCCAUCCGCAGGGCCAGCCUGCCGCUCAGCCUAGCCUUUGACCCCCACAGCCACAUUGUUCCCCUGAUGCUGGACACGCCCAGCAGUGAAUGCAGCAUGGCCAGUCAGGAAAAUGGCUCCACAGAAUCCUUCUCUUACAGCGACCAGAAUCAAGGCUUCAGUUCACCAGCUUCCUGCCCUUGUCUGGAGAAGCUGGAGCCUGCAGACAACCUGGAGGCCACCUACUUUCAGUACAGCAGCCAGGGGGGAAUCUAUCAGCUCUCCCAGUUGUGUCACCAAGGUCACCGGGCCGGCAAUAUGUUCUCCAGUGACCACCUUCCUCCUCCAACACCCCUAGAGUCCCAUCCAGCUUUCCCUGACUUACCUGGCAACAGUGGAGCCAUAACCUACGGAGCCACACAAGGCUAUGUGUGGCCAGUCAUGCCACAGCAGCCAAGUGACAAUUCAGAUAUCCCUGCCUAUCCAGCUGUGCCCUGGAGUGAUUUCUACGUGCAGGGAGCUCCUUUCUCCGAUCAGUUGCAUUCCCAAAUGACUUUUUCUAGCAUGGCAGGAGGGCAGUACUUCACAGAGCCGUAUCUCCCUCAAGUGCCGAACAGAACAGUACUGGAAUUCAUGCCACAGACUGGAAGACAAAAGGGAGUGACACCACCAGAGCCAAGUUCCUACCAGAGCUACCAAACAGAGGCAGAGUUGGCAGCACUCGCUGAAAAAGAGGACUUAGAGAGGAGCGGCAAGAAAGGAGAGACUGAAACUGAAGAAGAAACUUAUGACUGAAGCGGCACUCUGAGAAAAAAAGGAAGAGGAAAAAUUGCUAUUUUAAACUCUGCAAAACAAGAGUCAAAAAGAGACAAGGAUAUUAUUAUUUGCAACAGAUGCACUUUUUAAUUUAUUUUUUUGGUUGUAUUUUUUUUUUCUUGUUGCCAUGAUUAUUUUCUUGCUGAAGAAAGAAGCAGGGGUAUUUCACUCAAUCAGAGUUCCUGCCCUGUCUUUUUUUUUUUUUUUUUUUUUUUUUUUUUUUUUUUUUUUUUUUUUUUGCAAAUCUCCUGGCUUUAUUCUUCUUAACAAAUUCUAAUAAAUUCUAAUCUUGACCAGCCCUCA
ensembl:lncRNA